UACGAGAGGUCCAAACGUUAUUCGGAAUUACUGGGCUUACAGAGUUCGUAGGCGGGUUGGUAAGUCCGCUGUGAAAGCCCGGAGCUCAACUCCGGAGGGUCGGUGGAUACUGCCAGUCUUGAAGGUGCUAGGGGGAGAUGGAAUUACCGGUGUAGCGGUGAAAUGCGUAGAUAUCGGUAGGAACACCAGUGGCGAAGGCGGUCUCCUGGGGCAUUCUUGACGCUGAGGCGCGAAAGCUGGGGGAGCGAACGGG
rnacentral:rRNA from 1 species